rnacentral:lncRNA from 1 species
AUCAGGGGUUUGCCAUGGUCAACAAUAAGCUACAAUGUUUUGUGCUCAAAACCUCGAUUCUCAUGAAUGUGUACCCUUAGCUUUUUCCUUGCUUUUCGGAUGACAGGCCUUCCUACCGCAGUUUAAUAACUGGGUAUUUGGCACUGCCCUCUUCCAAAAUAGAGGUGCGUAUUAAUGCAUUGAAUUGUAAGUUCUGAUAGAACACAAUUUCACGAUUUUCAACUCAACAUAUUGCUUUCAUUUUCUAAUAAUAUUGAUGGAAUUUAUGUUGCACAUAUAGGAUUGCAGGAAAAGGGAUUGAUGUAGAGAUGAAAGUAAAAUUCCCUGCCAUUUGUAUCUGCAAGGGUAGAUACAAAAUAUCCUACACAUGAAAGGAGAUGUAAUAGAUGCACCAUUCUUUUUUAAUUUUCAGGUUUACAUGCGAUUCCAGUUUCAUGUGUAAAUUUUCUGUUAAUCAGGUCCAAAGGAAGUUUUA